rnacentral:rRNA from 1 species
CAGACACAUCCCCCUCCCUGUUCCUCUGCCCUGGGUCGCUACAGACACCGUCCCCGCUGGACCGGUGAUGCCCCGACGAGGAUAAGGGCGCCACGGUCCCCGCUCGGCCUCGUCAGCCCCACCCCCUGCUGCGCAGAUAUUUCCCCUCACCCUCUCUUCCUCAUCGCACUCUCGCUCGCGUCCAGAUCCACCUUGCCGUGCGCCCGCAUCACCAUGGCCGACCUCACCCGCACACCCACUUAGCUCCCCGCUGUACCUGCUUUCUCCAGAAGAACAACCGCCGACUACCUCGUCUACUGGAGCCACCUGUUGGAGUUGAAGCUCUCUGCAUCAACCACGACGAUGUCUUCUUCAUCCUCGUCACCGACCGCUGCCCUGCUGUUGAUUCCCCUAUCUCCGAACC